UACAGGGGGUGCAAACGUUGCUCGGAAUUAUUGGGCGUAAAGCGCGCGUAGGCGGCCACUUAAGUCGGAUGUGAAAGCCCCUGGCUCAACUGGGGAAGUGCACCCGAAACUGAAUGGCUUGAAUGCAAAAGAGGGUCGCGGAAUUCCCGGUGUAGAGGUGAAAUUCGUAGAUAUCGGGAGGAACACCGGUGGGCGAAGGCGGCGACCUGGGUUGACAUUGACGCUGAGGCGCGAAAGCGUGGGGAGCAAACAGG
rnacentral:rRNA from 1 species